UCUGUUUGUAUUACAACCUGAUGCAAACAACUAGAAUGCAUGCCAUCUAGCCUGAAACACCUAUUUUCCAUCUAUAUUAACUUUUGAAAGAUUGGAAGAUUUUGACAUACUCACUAAAUUAUCUUUCUCUAAAACCGAAACUGAGAUGUAUGCAGGUACAAUGAAUGGUAUGAAUAAAACAGAGUGUGCUUUACCAUUGCAUUUAGUUGCACGGCUGAGUUAGCUGAGUUUUUAUUUCAUAAAGUUGUGCACUAUUCAGAUAUCUGAGUUAAUUUCAAAGAAAGCAAGCUUCAAUAGUGACAGAUGCAAAUAUGCAUAAACAAAGCAUAUCUUUAAAAAACAAACAAACAAACACACACACCAGUUUUCCAGGACUGGAUCCACAGCUGAGGAUUUUUUCAAUUGGAAGAAUUCCAAAAAAUAUUGAGAUGCUCCUUCAACAAUGCAGAAAGCUCAGGCUCUUCUCAGUGAGUCUGGCUUUGCUCUACCUAUGAACCACUGUAAGAAGGGAGCAAGUCUGCUCCUGGUAAGGAAAUAGAGCUUGGCAUCAGACACAGGUGAGCUACUUCCAGCUCCAGCAACUCAGCAGCUGGGGAUGAAGCACAACACUACAACUGCUAGGAAAAUGCAAACAAUUUGUAAUUUGUAGCGAAUGGAUCCACCUGCUCUGCAUUGCACAGGCCUCAUUCCUCAUAUCAUUGUUAAAACUACCAGCAGGUAUCUUACUACAUGAAGUGGAGGGUGGCAUGCAGGGCAGAAGAAGGAGGUUCUGCUGAAGACCCACUCUUUCCAAUGCUCACUGUAGCACCCACACAGACCUCAUCGAAGCCAGUCUGUCUGGUGAGGACAUCUGUGGCUGCUGUAAGAGGAGCACACCAGGACAACCAGAUACAGCAGGCUAGGACAGAACCUGAGUCAUGUGAUGCUUCUAGUGUAAUCUGUGCUGACAAUUAAAAUGUGUUCUUUUUCAUGGCUACAUAAAGAAAAAUGUGAGUGUUUUCUCUGGUGUUUCAGUUAAUGCAUGGGGAGUGUUUUAGAGGAGCAUGAAUCUUGCAGGGACUAGCAAAUAUUACGUACCAGCUGACCAGUUUCCUGCAUUAAUGGAUUGGCUGCUCUCCAAACUGAACCUCCUGAAUGAAAAUAGACACAUUUGUAAAGAGGUUACUCAGCAAAUUAUUCAUUUUCAACAAUGAAAUAAACAGUAUGGGCAAGAAACACCUUCAAAAA